AAUUCGUCACAGUCACCCGUUAAAAAUUAUCCUCUUCUAAUACUAACCUUUUUUAUUGCUAAACCUUUAAACGUGAUUUGAGCCGCCCAUAUGUAUAUAAACGGGGUGACAAAAUAUUGGAAGCUAUAGGGUCUUCAGAUUUCAAACCAUAGAGAACAAUGCAAUUCCAGGCGUUAUUUGCUUUUAUGCUGCUCUUUCUGCUAGGCUAUGUAUCGGCAGGCGUUGAUGAAAAGAAUCUCUUCAAUUUGCUCAAAAAUGGGACUAAAGGUGAUGAUUUCGUUCCAGCGCGAGGAUAGAGUCAGACGAAUUCCAGCAAAACCUUCUCAUUCAUAAUCCAGUGAAGGAAUAAAUUAUCUUUUAAAUCAACCA